CCUACGGGAGGCAGCAGUGAGGAAUAUUGGGCAAUGGGCGGGAGACUGAACCAGCCAAGCCGCGUGAAGGAUGAAGGUACAGUGGAUGGUAAACUUCUUUUGUAGGGGAAUAAAGUCAGGCACGUGUGCCCGUCUGAGUGUACCCUAAGAACAAGCAUCGGCUAACGCCGUGCCAGCAGCCGCGGUAAUACGGAGGAUGCGAGCGUUAUCCGGAGUUAUUGGGUGUAAAGGGUGCGUAGGUGGGUGUGUAAGGCAGCGGGGAAAGCUCGGGGCUCAACCCCGGAAACGCCGUUGAAACUGGUAGUCUGGAGUGUACUAGAGGUAGGCGGAAUGCGCGGUGUAGCGGUGAAAUGCAUAGAUAUCACGCAGAACUCCGAUUGCGAAGGCAGCAUAC
rnacentral:rRNA from 1 species